ACCGGUCUAUUAUCGCCUGGAACUCAAAGAUUCCUCCGGUUAUUCACUGCAACCGUACGAAUAAUCCUCCAAUUACCGACAUUACGUGGCAGCUCCUCCCCCUUCUUCCCUCAGACAACGUAGAGCAGCUUCGUUUUGCUAACGUCAACGCCGUGGGUCUCUACUUCUCGAUGCUACCGGUUUACAGCACAUCACAGCACGUGAUUUUUUUUCUCCCAAGGGCCAAUCAGGAAAAUCUGUGAGCGUAUUUAGGUCACAGGCGGGUGAGGGACCCAGCGGAGGAAGUAACCACCAUCGUUGGAUUGCCAUGGUAAAGCGCGUGGAUAUGCGCAGACUUUAAAGUCAAUGGCUGCUUAUGUAAUUUUGAGCAGGGACCAAGGGCAUUUUGGGAACUCUGGUGGCGAACAUUGUGUAAUUUAGUUGCUCUCUUUGCCUUCCUUGCUUUUUUCUCUUCUCUAUCGAAGGUCGGGGACGGAUACUUGCAUAGAAACGAAUAGAAAGGGAAAAAGAAAAGAGAGAAAGAAAAGAGUGGAAGGAGAGGUAGAGAGAGAAGAGACAGAGAGUCGAAGGUUUUACAGUGCAGCGUUAAUGGCUGUUAGGGUUUUCUAUUGAUCCCCGGAACCUUAAUCUCCCGCUUAUAAGCACAGCAUCUGUUUUUCUCCUCGUUCCUCGAAACCCUAAUUUAGCUUCAUUUCGCGGCACUUGGUUCGACUAAUCUUUGCGAGAUUUUGGGGAAUUUGGAACAGAGAGGGGUUAGCUGCAAUGGGGGCGCAAGAGAAAUCGCAAGCUAACGCCAAUUCGAUGCAGGUGAGCUUCUGUUUACUGUCAUCAAGUUCAAGCUUCUUGUUUUGCCCUAGAAAUUUUCUUGCUGUUAGUUAAUUGUAAUCAAUGGUUUGAAUAGCGAGCUUACUUCAAAAUUCCCGUUCUUAUACGAUUUAGUCCCGCGGAAACACUGUUUAAUUGUGUGGGAGUUACUAAUACUCAUAGAGUAAGCCUGGGGUUUGAAUUUAAUUUGACUGGGUUUGAUUAAGCCUGGGGUUUUGAUUUUAUUUGACUGGGUUUGAUUCUUUUGGUAUGGUUUGUGGCAAAUAUGUCCUUUUUUUUCAACCCAGUUGUGUGGUACGAAUAAUUUCUUUCUUGUUGAAUGAGGGCUCCCGCUGUGCAAUAGUGUUUAACUAGUAAUUUUUUAUCCAAGCUGCUUUUAGUGUAAAGCUAUGAUUAUGAGAGUGGAUUUGCCUUCUUUUUUCGUUUGUUUUAUUAAAUGAAAUGUUAAAGGCAUGAAAAGGAAACUUUGGUUCGACUAGUAGGAACCCUUGGUACAGGUUUAUUCAAGUUGGAGCAACUAUAGGGCUUUUUUUG
rnacentral:lncRNA from 1 species